rnacentral:rRNA from 1 species
CAGCAGCCGCGGUAAUACCGAGGGUGCGAGCGUUAAUCGGAUUUACUGGGCGUAAAGCGUGCGUAGGCGGCUUUUUAAGUCGGAUGUGAAAUCCCUGAGCUUAACUUAGGAAUUGCAUUCGAUACUGGGAAGCUAGAGUAUGGGAGAGGAUGGUAGAAUUCCAGGUGUAGCGGUGAAAUGCGUAGAGAUCUGGAGGAAUACCGAUGGCGAAGGCAGCCAUCUGGCCUAAUACUGACGCUGAGGUACGAAAGCAUGGGGAGCAAACAGGAUUAGAUACCCGUGUAGUCCCUGUCUCUUAUAC